UGGUUCUCUGGUACAGUCUGCUCCUCCUGGAUUGUCCCUGUAUGAUACUUGUCAUUGAAUUAAAGAUCCAGCCGGAUAAUCCAGGAUGACUUCAUCAUCUCAACAUCCUUAAGUGGACUGUAUCCGCCAAUACUCUUCUUUCAAUAAGCUGACAUGCAGAUCACCAAGUCCCGAGAUUGCACAAAGCAGCAAGGCCCUGGGAUGAGUCCAGAGUGAUCUUGCAGUGAAGAGGAAUAUAAUAAAUGGCAGCUUUUGGAAUUGUUCAAGAGAUAAUACACCUAUUUCCUUACACAUCUUACUUUAUCUAAUAAAACCUUCUCAACAGCAGGAGUCCCUAUCUAUCUGUGACAAUGGUUUGAGAAGAGAAACUUCUGUUAGAGGCUCCUCAGUGAUCAUGAGUUAAAGAAGAAACUGUCCUGGCUGGGCGC
rnacentral:lncRNA from 10 species